UACGAAGGGGGCUAGCGUUGCUCGGAAUCACUGGGCGUAAAGGGUGCGUAGGCGGGUCUUUAAGUCAGGGGUGAAAUCCUGGAGCUCAACUCCAGAACUGCCUUUGAUACUGAAGAUCUUGAGUUCGGGAGAGGUGAGUGGAACUGCGAGUGUAGAGGUGAAAUUCGUAGAUAUUCGCAAGAACACCAGUGGCGAAGGCAGUUAACUAUUCUGCUACUGACAUUGAGGCACGAAAGCGUGGGGAGCAAAACGG
rnacentral:rRNA from 1 species